UCCGGGUGCAAGAGAAGCAGCAGUCUGGCUCCCCUACUGAGCUUUGUAGAGUCGGGGCCAGGAGCUUGCUCAACAGAAAGACACUGGUGCCAGGAAGCAACAGGUUCCCCAAAGAAGAGCCAUCUAUUAAAACUCUGUGCUGACAAAAGGGUGCUGAUCCCUCUUCAAAAGCCUGUUCUCUGGGCUGGGACUUAAUCUCUGGCUGAGGAGGGCUGGAAAGGAGCCCCCAGCCAGCGCAGCUUAAACCAUGGCUUCUGCGUGCAUCUCGAUGCUUGCGAUGGUCUUCGCACUGAGUGGGCUGAGAGCUCAGUCGGUGUCUCAGCCCGAUCAGGUCACUGUUGCCGAAGGGGAUCCAGUGACUGUGAAAUGCAACUAUUCGGUUUCCAGAAGCCCCUAUCUCUUUUGGUACGUCCAACAUCGCAACCAAGGUCUCCAGUUCCUCCUGAAAUACAUCACAGGGGACAACCUGGUCAAAGGCUACUACGGUUUUGAGGCUGAAUUUAAUAAGAGCCAAACCUCUUUCCACCUGAAGAAACCAACUGUCCUUGGGAGUGACUCUGCUGUGUAUUUCUGUGCCGUGACAGACACAGUGGUGGGGACUGCAGGGGGAGCUGGGCACAAACCCCUGAGGACCACAGUGAAACUGUUUUCCCGAAGCUCAUAUGGCUCUCCACAGAAGGUGGUGAGGUUCCAGGAUUGUCUCCCAUCAUAACUGACAAU